rnacentral:lncRNA from 1 species
UGGACGUCGGCCCCAUCUUCCGAGGCCUGCUGCACGUGCAGCACAUGGAUGGGAACAUGACAAUUAGCAUCAGGAACAAGAAAGAGGGCAACGGGUAACGAAUACACAACGAAACACACAAACGUGGCACAGAUGUGGCCCACCACUACCUGCCUACAUCAAACAAAUCUGCCGUACUCCGAUAGCCAUAUCGUAGUACGACAGCGUCUUGAUGCCCCACGUAAAACACAUAAGAGCCCCGACCCUCGCCCCCAUCUUACCUCCAUUCCCGGUUGGACGUUGGCCCCAUCUUCCGAGGCCUGCUGCACGUGCAGCACAUGGAUGGGAACAUGACAAUUAGGGCAGGCACGUCAAUGGCGGAGGCGAAACAUACACGCCCCCCUCCCCCAACCAGCCCCAGCCACCCUCCAUAGCAUCAGGAACAAGAAAGAGGGCAACAGGUAACGAUUCCACAACGAAACACACAACCGUGGCACAGAUGUGGCCCACCACUACCUGCCUACAUCAAACAAAUCUGCCGUACUCCGAUAGCCAUAUCAGAGUACGACAGCGUUUUGAUGCCCCACGUAAAACACAUAAGAGCCCCGACCCUCGCCCCCAUCUUACCUCCAUUCCCGGCUGGACGUCGGCCCCAUCUUCCGAGGCCUGCUGCACGUGCAGCACAUGGAUGGGAACAUGACAAUUAGCAUCAGGAACAAGAAAGAGGGCAACGGGUAACGAAUACACAACGAAACACACAAACGUGGCACAGAUGUGGCCCACCACUACCUGCCUACAUCAAACAAAUCUGCCGUACUCCGAUAGCCAUAUCGUAGUACGACAGCGUCUUGAUGCCCCACGUAAAACACAUAAGAGCCCCGACCCUCGCCCCCAUCUUACCUCCAUUCCCGGUUGGACGUUGGCCCCAUCUUCCGAGGCCUGCUGCACGUGCAGCACAUGGAUGGGAACAUGACAAUUAGGGCAGGCACGUCAAUGGCGGAGGCGAAACAUACACGCCCCCCUCCCCCAACCAGCCCCAGCCACCCUCCAUAGCAUCAGGAACAAGAAAGAGGGCAACGGGUAACGAUUCUACAACGAAACACACAACCGUGGCACAGAUGUGGCCCACCACUAUCUGCCUACAUCAAACAAAUCUGCCGUACUCCGAUAGCCAUAUCGGAGUACGACAGCAUUUUGAUGGCCCAUGAAAAACACAUAAGAGCCCCGACCCCCGCCCCCAUCUUACCUCCAUUCCCGGCUGGACGUCGGCCCCAUCUUCCGAGGCCUGCUGCACGUGCAGCACAUGGAUGGGAACAUGACAAUUAGGGCAGGCACGUCAAUGGCGGAGGCGAAACAUACACGCCCCCCUCCCCCAACCAGCCCCAGCCACCCUCCAUAGCAUCAGGAACAAGAAAGAGGGCAACGGGUAACGAUUCCACAACGAAACACACAACCGUGGCGCAGAUGUGGCCCACCACUACCUGCCUACAUUGGGACAUUGGACAUUGAAGCCAUAAUAGCCAAAGCACAUUGGGAAGCAUGAAUAUAGCCGGUGAACUUAUCAUAAGUGAAAUUUAGGUUACUUAGGGUGUUUGCCACUUGUUUUGGUGCUCCGAUGUAACAUGACCAUUGGUAGUCAUGGUCAUGGCCCAAAGGAACGCCGAUUGUUCCAGCACAAAGUAGAAUAUAGUUGAUGAACAAAUAAGUACAUAGGCAAGGUUACCCGAGGACAACGUCGAUCGACCUGGUCGACCAGGUCCGCCAAUGUAGUGGGUCCAUGCCACAAUAUCCGAAAGUCAGCUGAAAUCAUUUAAAACCUUGUCAGGUUUACUGAACAAAAUUACGACCGACGAGGUUUCCAUGCAAUUGGCUGACAUAACCCACGUCAAAAGUAACCUCAUCCAGACAACCGUCCCGUAGCUGCUGAGCCUUGGGCGCUACACGUCUCUGGACUGCCAAAUGGCCGUAGGUAGAGAGCAAAUCGUAAGGACAAAUAAUGCCUCCCUACACUCAUAUUUGAUGGCAAACAUGUUAACUAACCUCGUCAUAACAUUUCACACACUCAGCGCGCAUAUCUGUGCCUAAUUAUGACACUUUCAAGGUUGCACAUUUAUCAAGCUUCUAGCUGGCGAGUAACCUGUCCAGACAACUGCCCCGUAGCUACCGAGCCUGACGAGUUACACGUCUCCAGACUGCCAUAGGGAGGGCAGUUGCCGUCUCCGCCUCGUCCGUAAAGUUUCUUUAGUUUAGCAUUAAAUAGCAGCCUGUAUCGAGCUUUCAGUACUUGCAGUUUGAGCCAGUGUGGCAUCUUUGUGUUACUAAGGAAGGAAUUGCUAGAUUCGGGGUCUAACUUCGAGGCAGUGUUACGCCAUUUUUCAGUUAGUAUUGUGUCGUUGGUAUAGCCUGCGAAGGUACCUUGCUGGAGACGCUUAUAAAGGCCUUUGUUCAGGUCACUAAUGUAAAGACCAGUGUCGCGUUGUUUCAGCCAGAACACUUUAUCGAACGGGGCAUUGUCGGCCUUUUCAGUAAAUGUUGCUGGGUUCUCACCUCGUGCGACAGAUGUUGC